UUAUAAUUUAUUUCCGUAAUGAAAACAUUUUGCUGUGAGCAAGUUUUCAGUACCGUAUCUUCCGGGCUAUCGCUCCUGAGUCGCACCAGCCAUUAAAUGUAUAAUGAAGAAGAGAAAAUAUAUUUAAGUCGUAUUUUGGGGGGACAUUUUAUUAUCUUUCUUACAAAAUCUGAGACCAAGCGUUUCACAUUGCAACACAAGCACUGGUAACCAUAACAGAAUGAACAACAGCCAGCAGAGGAGAGGAUGGCAGUGUUUCAAACCCUCCCGGCCGGCGAGGAGAGCUCAUUCCUGGGCUGGAGCCGGCCCUCAGCACCCCGUCACAGGCUCUAACAGAUGCUGGCGGUGUUUGAAACCCUUCCAGCGGGACAGGGGAACCCAUUCUUGGGCGGGUCGGAGUCGGCCCGCAGCAGCGCGGUGUAGCCUACAUAUUUUGUUAUAUAAGUCGCUCCGGAGUAUAAGUAGCAGGACCAGCCAGAAUAUGUAAAAAAGUGCGAGUUAUAGUCCGGAAAAUAUGGCAGUUAUUAGUAUUCGAGCUAAAUAUGCAGCCUAAAUACAUUUCAUAUAUUUCCAAAAUGUGAUACUUGUUUGUAUCUUGUACAGCCAACUAGUCUUUAUUCUGGACUCAGUACAAUUUACCAAAAGUAAAGAGACAUUCUACAGAUGAAGUAAGCACAAGAUAACUUACUGGAAGACACGGAAUUAUCAUCAGAACCAGAACAAGAGAGCCUGAUAACAGUCAUGUGAAAAUAAGUUAAAAAGUAUGUAUGUAUAAUAGAAAUAAAAAUAUAUUAGAAUUAGUGUAACUCACUGUGAUCCAAACAAUAAAUCAGCCAUAGCUGAUUAGUAAAUAUGACAUGAGGUCUGGGAGUUUUUAAUUUUAAUUUUUAUUUUUUUCUUAAAUCUGUUUAAAUGUCACCAUGGCAGCCUGUGUGUCUCCAACAUCAGCUACACAAAGCAGCAAGUCCAUUUGGAUCAUUGGAGACAGCUGAGUGAGGCGUGGUGCCCAGAGAGCUGCAGAGACCGGAGACAACCUUGGCCUCCCUGACGUCUGUGUCUCCUGGUUCGGUUGGGGUGGACCAUCGACAUACAUACAUGUGCCGACACUUUGCGCCCUGUUUUAUAAAAUGUAGUGUUAAAAAUAAAUGUUUUUGCUCAA